AGCAAAGAAACACAAUAGAUGUCAGGCUGGGCGGUAAAAUGAUAACGAUACAUAUCACGUUAUAACUUUUCCUUGAUAGAAAUAUGAGACGUGCUCGAUACAAUUUCGAU